UCGGGAGGCAGCAGUGGGGAAUAUUGCACAAUGGGCGAAAGCCUGAUGCAGCCAUGCCGCGUGUAUGAAGAAGGCCUUCGGGUUGUAAAGUACUUUCAGUUGUGAGGAAGGGGGUAACGUUAAUAGCGUUAUCUCUUGACGUUAGCAACAGAAGAAGCACCGGCUAACUCCGUGCCAGCAGCCGCGGUAAUACGGAGGGUGCGAGCGUUAAUCGGAAUUACUGGGCGUAAAGCGCAUGCAGGUGGUUCAUUAAGUCAGAUGUGAAAGCCCGGGGCUCAACCUCGGAACUGCAUUUGAAACUGGUGAACUAGAGUGCUGUAGAGGGGGGUAGAAUUUCAGGUGUAGCGGUGAAAUGCGUAGAGAUCUGAAGGAAUACCAGUGGCGAAGGCGGCCCCCUGGACAGACACUGACACUCAGAUGCGAAAGCGUGGGGAGCAAACAGGAUUAGAUACCCUGGUAGUCCACGCCGUAAACGAUGUCUACUUGGAGGUUGUGGCCUUGAGCCGUGGCUUUCGGAGCUAACGCGUUAAGUAGACCGCCUGGGGAGUACGGUCGCAAGAUUAAAACUCAAAUGAAUUGACGGGGACCCGCACAAAAGGG
rnacentral:rRNA from 1 species